UCCAAGCAGGUAGUCAAAUUUUGGUCUUCCUUGCUACAGAGGAGCAUGAUGACCUAUGGAAGCAGAAUCACUUAAUGUCAACUUUCUUUCUUGCUAUUCUUCUCUGAUGUCCUUUGCUCUCAUCGUGGACCAACUAAGCUAUAGGGAGGGAGGUAGAAGCAGAAUCAGGAAGAGAGAAGACUCCUGUGAACAACAAAGAAGACAGAUGUUGCUCAAAGCCUCUGAUCCAAGGUAUCCUGACAGUUUCUAGGGUAAGGAGGUCAUAAUCAUUGCAUUCUUGGAAUGGGACCUCUUUCAAUGUGGACUACACCUCCGCCUUCCAUCAUCUCCAUCAGCUGGGAGAACAGGCAAGGGGCCUGUAGAUGGAGUGAAAAAGCAGCCUAUUAAUACAAAGAUUACUCAUUUCUUCCCAGCAUAGCCUAAUACUGAUCAAGGACAGCAUGGCAUCUCCUCAUGAGUUGGAGACAAGGGAAGGCAUUGAAAGGAAGGGUCAUUGGCUUUGUGGAGCAACAAUCUGGAAAUUUCUAGAGAGAGAUAGAAAUGUCAUCACUGGAGAUUUGCCUUCACAUGGACCAGCAGAGGGACUGGGCGACUGUUCUGGGUGCCCCCAAGGGGGCACAGAAGAUAAGAGCUACCGCUCUCACCAUCCUCAGGUGCCAUAUUCCAAAGGUGCCAAAGGUGGCACCACAAUUGGAACAAAUAGAUGAAAGCUGUCACAGGGACCUAUGCACAUAUUCAUCAGUCCCAGGGCAGGUGUCGAUUGCUAGUCUAGAGCCCUAAACUAGAAGGAUAUAAAUAAUCUCUAGUAGAUCUAAUCCAAAAAUAACACACAAGCACAGUUUCUUCGAUGCAGUAUUAUAGAAACAAACACAUAAAAUAUAUUAGUUACCUACAAACCACUAAAAACAAUUGGGUCUUUGCUGAUUCAGGAGGAGCUGCAGAUGUAAUGGAGUCUCAAUGGUCAUUUCAUUGUGGGAAUGUUGAGUUAUCAUUUGCAAGGUGGCUGCUAGGGACUGACUUGUGUCCACUCCAAAUUUCAUAUGUUGAAGCCCUAACUCCCCACUGUGAUGCGUGUUUGGAGACUGGGCUUCGGGAGGCAAUUAGGGUUAAGAGGUCACAGGAGAGGGCCCUCAGGAUGGGAUUGGUGCCCUUAUAAGAAGAGACACCAGAAAGCUGGCCCCCUCUCUAGUCUCCCCCACUGACCACCACCAUAUGAAUACAUAGUGAGACAGUGGCCAAGUGCAAGCCAGGAAGAGAGCCCUCACCAAAACCAACCAUGCUGGCACUCUGAUUUUAGGAUUCCAGCUUCCAGAAUGGUGAGAAAAUUAAUUUCUGUUGUGCAAACCACCCAGUCUAUGGUAUUUUGUUAUGGUAGCUCCAGCUAAUAACAAUAGCUAAAUGUAGCGUUCACUAUUUAUUUUGUGUUUGUUUACAGAACACUUGGUAAUUUUACUCCCAUUAUAUUUUAAAGGGACAUUUUAUAUAUUAAUUUUUAAACUGAAAAGUAUAUUGAGAUCUUUAGCAAUGUGAUUUUGUGCAAUUUUUUUUAACCUUUUUGUUUCCUCAUCUAUAAAUCUGACAGUAGAACCCUGUAGGAUUUUUGUAAGAAUGAAAUCUGUCAAUAUUUGUAGGGUUCUUAGAGUAGUGCCUGGCACAAUAUGCUGUGUAUUUAUUACAUUAAAUAUAAGUAAAAAUAAAAUGCAUUUCUAAUCAUAUUUAUAUGUAUAUUAUAGCUUUAAAUGUUGUCUUUCUACUAUAAAAACUAAUUUAGGCCUACUGCCUUCCAUGGUUGUUUUUCUUCUUUGGCCUUUUCAUGACUAUUAAUUAUUGGAGUGUUGAUGAUUAAUUUAUUGUUUUCAAUAGAAACACUGAGGCCUUUAAGCUGUAAGUUUUCCUUUUCUUCACCCAAAACCCCAAAAAGGAUAGAAAGUAUUUAUACCAGUUCAGGAAAAACACUUUCAUUUUUAAUUUAGAUUUUUCUACAGCUAAUGUGUAUGUAUUCUAUUUCCCCUCUCAUCAAAGUGUACUAUUAUCUUUAGCCAAUGAUAUUAGAACAUUUAAAUAAACCAGUAUUUUUAUUUGGAA